GGUGAACCGUAUAAAACUGGCGUAUAUAUUCGUACAAGUUACGAAGGCGUCUCAACUCUGAACGGUCUCUGCAACUCUGUACACUCUUCGAGGGCGGUUUCGGUUAACCAAAAGCGCGUCUUCUUUUUUCGAAACUCGCUUCUUCCUCCCUCCCAUGGCUGCUGCUGCUGCUGCUACUGCUACUUGUUUCCUCUUCCUUCUCUAGAAUUUCCAAUUCUUUACACAUUCGCCGCUCCUUCUUGUCCAAAUUUCUACUUCUGUUUCUUGAUUCUCCGGUUCCCGAAGCAACAAUUUACGCGGAAUUGCUUUCUUGGAAGUGGUUUUGAAGAUAUAGUAUGUGCUGUGGAUAAUUUUUGUCAGAGUAUCUAGGGUUUUGCACCAAUUCUUUUAGUUUUUUACUGGGACUUUUCGUUUUCUGCUUCUGCUGAGAGAAAUUUUGAAGUUUUUUUAAGAAGCUUUGGAAGCAGGGAAAAAAAAAGAUUAGAAAAGGAAACAAUUUUUCACCGGAAAGUAUUUCGGGAAGCAUUGAAGGUCUAAUGUGCUUCCCUUUGUGGGUUUAAGUAGCACACUCUGUUUUUUGUUGUUGAACUUGCCUUAGGUUUUCUUAAGCGUGGCAUUUCUUUGUUCUUGGCUACUAUAAAAUACUGAGUGUCAAAACUCCCCAUGAGAAAUGAGUGACAGGAAAACUAUGUGUAUUCUGGGGCAAUUCUGAUGUAGCUUUCAAGAGAUGAUUUGAGGAAGUGAAUUGCUAGGGUUUAGGAAGUGGCUGUUGGCUUAUUUUUUAAAAUAGAUAAUAGGGAUAACUGUAUGUCAUGGAUAUUGAUAUGGCGGGUGGUGGUGGGGAUGCUCCUUAUUUGGACCCUGAGUUGUUGCAGCUUCCAGAGGUGUCUCCAUUUGUACUCAAAGCGAGUCCUCAGAUUGCUGAGGAGUUGUUCUCUCAAUGGCUGUCACUUCCAGGAACCAGUCGACUGGUGAAAUCUUUAAUUGAUGAUGCGAAGAUUGGCAAUCCCGUUAACUUCUUUGGGAUCUCUGUUAAUACAAGUGCUGGUGGGGGCAAUUCAUUGCCUUCCAUGUUUCCUGCUGGCAGUGCACCUCCGCUUUCACCAAGAAGUUCAUCUGGUUCUCCACGCAUGUCUAAGCAGAAGACAAGCCCUUCUUCAUUGGGUUCUCCAUUAAAAUUAGUUAGUGAACCAGUACGAGAAGUCAUACCUCAGGUUUCACCUACUCCUGACAGCUUCUGUUUUCUAUUUUCGAAAUGGUCGUCCACCGGCAGAUGAACUGAAAGAACAAUGUCUCUCGAGAAUUAAUCAAUUUUUCAGUAAUCAUUUGGAUGGAUUGCGGAUUGAUGAAUUUAAAUCCAUCACCAAGCAAAUUUGCAAGUUACCGUCUUUCUUCUCCACUGCACUUUUUAGAAAGAUAGAUAGUGACUGCAGUGGGAUAGUGACAAGGGAUGCGUUUAUUAAAUACUGGGUGGAUGGCAAUAUGCUGGCAAUGGACAGAACAACUUGCAUAUUCAAUAUUCUAAAGCAGCCAGAAAACAAAUACCUGAUACAGACUGACUUCAAAACUGUCCUUCGAGAACUUUUGGCAACGCAUCCAGGGUUGGAAUUCUUACAAAGCACACCUGAAUUUCAAGAAAGAUAUGCUGAAACGGUUAUAUAUAGAAUAUUCUACUACAUUAAUAGAUCAGGAAAUGGCCGUCUUACCCUUAGGGAGCUGAAACGUGGAAACUUGAUUGAUGCAAUGCAGCAUGCAGACGAAGAAGAGGACAUAAAUAAAGUUUUGAGGUACUUUUCUUAUGAACAUUUUUAUGUGAUAUACUGCAAAUUUUGGGAACUGGACACGGAUCAUGAUUUUCUGAUUGACAAAGAGAACCUGAUCAGAUAUGGUAACCAUGCACUUACCUACCGGAUUGUUGAUAGAAUAUUUUCCCAGGUUUGUGUCAGUGAGAUGAUGCUUUUAUGCUCCGAGCCCAGUCACCUGCAAUACGCAGAAAGAAAAUUUCCUUCUAUUCAACAUUGCAUAUCUCAGUCAUCCCCCUAUCUUCUUAUUCUGUAUUUAAUCAUAUCUUCAUCAUUAUUAGUUAAAGAUCAAAGAUCCGAUUGUGUUUAUCAUUCCAGGUUCCGAGAAAGUUUACUAGUAGGGUUGAAGGGAAAAUGGGAUAUGAAGAUUUUGUCUACUUCAUACUGUCAGAGGAGGAUAAGUCAUCUGAACCUAGUCUUGAGUACUGGUUCAAGUGCAUAGAUUUGGAUGGAAAUGGAGUUUUGACGCGAAAUGAAAUGCAGUUCUUUUAUGAAGAGCAGUUGCAUCGAAUGGAAUGCAUGGCCCAAGAGCCUGUGCUGUUUGAAGAUAUAUUAUGCCAGAUAAUUGACAUGAUUGGACCAGAGGUUUGCUCUAUGCUCUUCUGUAAUUUUAUGGGUAGUUCCACUUUCGGAUACUUGUAGGAGCCUGUUGAAGGAAAAACUUAAAUGGAGGUGAUUGUAAAUAUGGUUAGCUUUUGCCACUGCAAUGCAACACUUAGAAGUGAGGUUUCUUGCAACCGCUGGCAUGGAUUUUAAAGUGUCAUGGCUAAGGCUCUAAGCGAACUCAAUGACUAACUGUUCCUUGAUUUCCAAGAAGAUAGCAUAUACUGCGCAUAGUUAGCCAGUAGGAUCUGAUUUCCUGUAUUAUUGUUCUAAAUGCACCAUUUUUGUAGAUAUUCUGGUUUUCACCCUUGACUUUUUCUUGCAUGCAGAACGAGAGCUAUAUCACAUUAAGUGAUUUAAAAGGUUGUAAACUUUCAGGAAGUGUGUUCAAUAUCCUUUUCAACCUUAACAAGUUUAUGGCCUUCGAAACCCGUGAUCCAUUUCUGAUUCGUCAGGAACGUGAGAAUCCAACAUUGACAGAGUGGGAUCGCUUUGCACAUAGGGAGUACAUCAGGCUUUCAAUGGAAGAAGAUGUAGAGGAUGUCUCAAAUGGAAGUGCAGAUGUUUGGGAUGAAUCACUUGAGGCUCCUUUCUAAGUCAAUGAGCUGCCUAUGUAAAUGUCUCUUGUUGCGUUUAUGAGUUUUGGCAUAGAAGGGAAAUUACACCAUAAGUGAAGCUCAUCAAUUUAUGCUACUUCAGAGCUCUACAUUCAAGGUUGGGCAUGACUUCGACAUGCAAAUUGCUCCAGUAGGCAACAAGCUUGCCUUUUGCUGGACCCCAGAAUUAUGUGGUGUCAAUUUCAUGAUUUGCCUGGGAGUCAUUUGAAUUGAGAGAUGGCUGCUGUCUAAUUGUUCACCACCCAGGUGACAGAAGUUCAUACGGUUGUUGUUGCAUAGCUAUGUUACUUCCAGAUCAUCAGGUCCAUUUCU
rnacentral:misc_RNA from 1 species